ACAUGCCUACAACAUAGCGUUAAUGCACCAGAUCCCAUUAGAACUCCACAGUUAAGCGCACUCAGGAUAGACUAGUACUGGGAUGGGUGACCGCCCGAUAAUUCCUAGUGUUUUACAUGCC
rfam:Picea glauca, whole genome shotgun sequence.